rnacentral:SRP_RNA from 1 species
GUGGGGACUAGCCCGGGUGGUUCGACGUCACCUGUUACCCGAAACCGCCGGUAUGCGGGGGGCGAAGUCUGAGGACGGCUCGUGCGGUCUGCGGGAGUCUGGGGCAUCCUGACGUCGAUACCUCGUCCUGUGAGGCCGGUGGACAGGGAUCAAGGCUCCGGAGGGAGCGGCGACCUGUUGUUGCGGAUACCGGUUCAGGCCCGGAAGGGAGCAGACUCACCGUGAACAUCCGGCGCCCACAGGGUAGCGGGGUGGAGGAGGGGUGUGUCAGCGAACGUUGAUACGUGGUUCCAACCAAGGACGUGUCCCCAU